rnacentral:rRNA from 1 species
GUUUGAUCCUGGCUCAGGACGAACGCUGGCGGCGUGCUUAACACAUGCAAGUCGAACGGAAAGGCCCUGCUUUUGUGGGGUGCUCGAGUGGCGAACGGGUGAGUAACACGUGGGCAACCUGCCCAAAAGAGGGGGAUAACACUUGGAAACAGGUGCUAAUACCGCAUAACCAUAGUUACCGCAUGGUAACUAUGUAAAAGGUGGCUAUGCUACCGCUUUUGGAUGGGCCCGCGGCGCAUUAGCUAGUUGGUGAGGUAAAGGCUUACCAAGGCAAUGAUGCGUAGCCGAACUGAGAGGUUGAUCGGCCACAUUGGGACUGAGACACGGCCCAGACUCCUACGGGAGGCAGCAGUGGGGAAUAUUGCACAAUGGGCGCAAGCCUGAUGCAGCGACGCCGCGUGAGGGAUGGAGGCCUUCGGGUUGUAAACCUCUUUUAUCGGGGAGCAAGCGAGAGUGAGUUUACCCGUUGAAUAAGCACCGGCUAACUACGUGCCAGCAGCCGCGGUAAUACGUAGGUGGCAAGCGUUAUCCGGAUUUAUUGGGCGUAAAGGGAACGCAGGCGGUCUUUUAAGUCUGAUGUGAAAGCCUUCGGCUUAACCGGAGUAGUGCAUUGGAAACUGGGAGACUUGAGUGCAGAAGAGGAGAGUGGAACUCCAUGUGUAGCGGUGAAAUGCGUAGAUAUAUGGAAGAACACCAGUGGCGAAAGCGGCUCUCUGGUCUGUAACUGACGCUGAGGUUCGAAAGCGUGGGUAGCAAACAGGAUUAGAUACCCUGGUAGUCCACGCCGUAAACGAUGAAUGCUAAGUGUUGGAGGGUUUCCGCCCUUCAGUGCUGCAGCUAACGCAAUAAGCAUUCCGCCUGGGGAGUACGACCGCAAGGUUGAAACUCAAAGGAAUUGACGGGGGCCCGCACAAGCGGAGGAACAUGUGGUUUAAUUCGAUGAUACGCGAGGAACCUUACCCGGGCUUGAAUUGCAGAGGAAGGAUUUGGAGACAAUGACGCCCUUCGGGGCCUCUGUGA